GAUGAACGCUGGCGGCGUGCCUAAUACAUGCAAGUCGAGCGAACAGAUGAGGAGCUUGCUCCUCUGACGUUAGCGGCGGACGGGUGAGUAACACGUGGAUAACCUACCUAUAAGACUGGGAUAACUUCGGGAAACCGGAGCUAAUACCGGAUAAUAUAUUGAACCGCAUGGUUCAAUAGUGAAAGACGGUUUUGCUGUCACUUAUAGAUGGAUCCGCGCCGCAUUAGCUAGUUGGUAAGGUAACGGCUUACCAAGGCAACGAUGCGUAGCCGACCUGAGAGGGUGAUCGGCCACACUGGAACUGAGACACGGUCCAGACUCCUACGGGAGGCAGCAGUAGGGAAUCUUCCGCAAUGGGCGAAAGCCUGACGGAGCAACGCCGCGUGAGUGAUGAAGGUCUUCGGAUCGUAAAGCUCUGUUAUUAGGGAAGAACAAAUGUGUAAGUAACUAGGCACGUCUUGACGGUACCUGAUCAGAAAGCCACGGCUAACUACGUG
rnacentral:rRNA from 1 species